GAUCCUGGCUCAGGAUGAACGCUAGCUACAGGCUUAACACAUGCAAGUCGAGGGGAAACGACAUCGAAAGCUUGCCUUUGAUGGGCGUCGACCGGCGCACGGGUGAGUAACGCGUAUCCAACCUGCCCACCACUUGGGGAUAACCUUGCGAAAGUAAGACUAAUACCCAAUGAUAUCUCUAGAAGACAUCUGAAAGAAAUCAAAGAUUCAUCGGUGAUGGAUGGGGAUGCGU
rnacentral:rRNA from 1 species